UCUUUUUUAGCUUAGUUGGUAGAGCGCGUCACCGAUGUUCAACGUCGUGUCCUGAGCGAUAUGUCGACUAUGACGACGUCAGUUGUUCAAGUCGGCGAGAAGGAA